rnacentral:rRNA from 1 species
UACGGAGGGUGCAAGCGUUAAUCGGAAUUACUGGGCGUAAAGCGUGCGCAGGCGGUUUGUUAAGUCUGUUGUGAAAUCCCCGAGCUCAACUUGGGAAUUGCAAUGGAUACUGGCAAGCUGGAGUAUGGUAGAGGAAGGUGGAAUUCCCGGUGUAGCAGUGAAAUGCGUAGAGAUCGGGAGGAACACCAGUGGCGAAGGCGGCCUUCUGGUCUGUAACUGACGCUGAGGCGCGAAAGCGUGGGGAGCAAACAGG